UACGGAGGGGGCUAGCGUUGUUCGGAAUUACUGGGCGUAAAGCGCGCGUAGGCGGACCUGCAAGUCGGGGGUGAAAGCCCGAGGCUCAACCUCGGAACUGCCUUCGAUACUGCGGGUCUCGAGUCCGGGAGAGGUGAGUGGAAUUCCUAGUGUAGAGGUGAAAUUCGUAGAUAUUAGGAAGAACACCAGUGGCGAAGGCGGCCAACUGGGCCAUUACUGACGCUGAGGUGCGAAAGCGUGGGGAGCAAACAGG
rnacentral:rRNA from 1 species